rnacentral:misc_RNA from 1 species
GGAAGGAUCAUUAACACGUAUCCAACGUUAAACCCCCCCCGUGAACCUACAACAUUCCUUCUCGGCCCCACGCUGCAAUUCCUGGUAAAUCAUUUCGAACAGUUUUGAUUCAGGAACCUCCGCGUUACGAAAGUUUCAACGGUCUUCUAAUUAGAGGAGAGGCAAGAUAUUGUUUCCUCAUGAGGCGCACGUGUUCUGAAAGUGUUCGCGUGACUCCGUUUUGUGAGGAAAUUCCGUGAAGAAAGCGGAAUGCACUAGAGGCCAUCACGGCCGGUGACAAUGUUUACGCCGCGUUCCAAUUGUACGAACGAGCAUUCGGCCCCGUCCGUCGCCUCGGUGCGGCUAUGACAACUCUUAGUCAUGUGUCAGCCUGCGGAUAAGUCCAAAGGCAAAAAAUACUUGAACAACUGUUAACAAUGGAUAUCUUGGUUCUCGCAACGAUGAAGAACGCAGCGAAAUGCGAUACGUAAUGCGAAUUGCAGAAUUCAGUGAAUCAUCGAAUCUUUGAACGCAAAUUGCGCUCUCGGGUUACCCCCAAGAGCACACCUCUCUGAGUGUCGGUUUAACCAAAUGUCACCAAUUUAUUGGUGUACGACAGACUGAGGGUAAGGAGUCUCGGCUUCUUUCCCUUUAAAAUUCAGCAACACGAAUGUGUGUGUCUGUGGCAAGUUGCUUUCACUUAACUGUGAAUCCAAUCCAUGAACCCUAUUUGUGGAGCCCCAAAGAAACAAAUGAACAAGGGUGUGAACUUUGAAUCAUACUUUUACAGUGAACGGGAGGGAGAUAUAGAUUGAGGUGGUCAGGGGGUUGUGAAAGUGUUCAACCUGAUUGGCUCUCUGUAUGUUCAACCUGGUUAUUGUUAAAGUGUGAUUUUGGGGGAACGGCUUUGUGCAUCUAUGAAUUAGACCUCAGAUGAAGUGGGAAGACCCCCUGAAUUUAAGCAUAUUAUUAAGGGGAGGAAAAGAAACUAACAAGGAUUCCCCCAGUAACGGCGAGUGAAGCGGGAAGAGCUCAAAUUUAAAAUCCACUGGUCUAACAGCCUGUGGAGUUGUAAUCUAGAGAGGCUCUCUCAGUGCCAGCCUGGUUAUAAGUCCCUUGAAACGGGGCAUCAAAGAGGGUGAGAAUCCCGUAUUUGAGCCGGAGCUAAGUACGUACGAGGAGUUUUCUAAGAGUCGCGUUGCUUGGGAGUGCAGCGCUAAAUGGGUGGUAAAGUUCAUCUAAAGCUAAAUACUGGCGAGAGACCGAUAGCGAACAAGUACCGUGAGGGAAAGAUGAAAAGAACUUUGAAAAGAGAGUUAAAAAGUACUUGAAAUUGUUAACAGGGAAGGGGAGUCAACCAGUCAUUUCUAAGCUUCAUUCGCUUCUCCUUCGGGAGGGGUUACUUGAGGCUAAGAAGGGUCAGCAUCACUUAGGGUCUUCGGAGAAAAUGUGUGAGUUGGUGCGUUUCUUCGGAUUCGUUUAACUUGUGCAAUCUUACGUUGGCGCUGGGUGUGGAGUGAUAACCCCCCACCUUCGGGUGUCGGUUCUCUGAGGCCUGUUUGCUCUAGCGCGUGAGAGAACAAAGUUCUGUCUGUGCGAAAGGUGAAUACUGCUUUGGAUGAGCUUGAUGGUGUGGUUCGCGAUGCAGACGAAAUGGUUGUCUUCCACCCGUCUUGAAACACGGACCAAGGAGUCUAACAUAUAUGCGAGUAUUUGGGUGACAAACCCUGAUGCGUAAUGAAAGUAAAGAGCUGAAAAGCUUGAGGUAGGAAUCUCACCCUCGGGUGGGAGGCACUAUCGACCGAUCGUUCGCUUGCGGAAGAUUUGAGUAAUAGCAUAUCUGUUGGGACCCGAAAGAUGGUGAUCUAUGCCUGAACAGGGUGAAGCCAGGGGAAACUCUGGUGGAAGCUCGUAGCGAUACUGACGUGCAAAUCGUUCGUCUGAUUUGGGUAUAGGGGCGAAAGACUAAUCGAACCAUCUAGUAGCUGGUUCCCUC